UCUUUCCAAGAUGGUGACCCCGUAUGACAAGUUUGAAGUCUUGUAUCAUUGCUGCUAUUGAGGAGCUGAAACGUUAAGCUGAUGCAAUAUGUUCGUUAUAUAGAAUAUGGCAUUUUUAGCCAUAUUAAUUUGUAGGGUUUAGUUCUCCUUUAACGUUAGUAGAGUGGAUGAAAGAUGUUUCGUACAACCAAAGCUUGUGGGCAAGAUCAUAAUUGUAGCAUGUAUGGCCACCUUUACAGUCUGUUUCACCCCUGCAACAAUCCUCAGCAUCAGUCUUACAGCAUGUGCCUUAUAGUCUAUAGUGGGAAGUGAGGUAAUUGGCAUCUUGCAGGUCCUAUUACAUUGACAUAGGGUUAGCUAACAGCUGCCUAGCCUGUUCUAGAGACUUCUGGCACUUGUAUGUCCCCCCAUGUAUUCAGUUUUCCAAAAUAACGUCUUUUCCCCUAAUAACCAUAUCUAAAAACUGACAGUGUUCCUCCUUACCCUAAUAAGAUAAAAUAAGAAAAUAUCAUGUCAAUUGUUCAUGUUGGCAUUGGUUUGCAAAGAACUGAAAUGUUCAGAAGCUUUCACUGGGUACAGUAUAGGCACCUAUUAUCAUUGCUUCUGUCUGUCUGUCUGUCUGGGAAGACCCUGCAGCCAGUUAGAAAUAUAGAACCUCUGCAGGGAUAAUGGAAACAUAUUCAGAAUCCUGGGUAUAAAAGUCAUUUCAUACAUCCAACUUAUUUUCACUUUAGUUCUGCACUCCUAGGCACGUUUCACCUGGUUACACUGUAUGUACCUACUGGCACUUAUUAUGGCUCUGGGAGUUUGAAUACAAGAAAGAAUAAAGAUGCUGCUAUAAGAAUAACACUAGUCUGUUACCUGAUAUUUGUUACUGAUUUGUUUAAAAUCUAAUAAUAUUAUUAGACAACGGCUGCUUAAUAUUUAUUGUAUUUCACUAGAUUGCUUGUGUAAAAUAAUAUUCACUGCAGGGCCUGUAAAUAUAUGAAUGCUCACAAUAUCCCACUGCUCUCUGCCCUUGGGCUGAUUAUUGGGUAUUGAUAUUGGUGGGAAGGCCUAGCGUUUAAUUCUUGCUGUUCCCUAUCAGUUUAGCAUAAAUCAAUGAGUUUGGCAUGAUGUAAAGAAUGGAUGAAAGCAAAGACAAGCAUAGUUAAUACUCUGGUCUGUAAUACAGCAACAACAAGGCACUCUCUGAUACAGGUGUGUGUGCAGCACAGCAGAAGCAGUUAUUGCAACAAGGAAAGUGCAGGUGUGGGAAUGGGUGCAAGGCUGCAGCUAUGGCAGACACAUCCCAUGUCAGAUGUAUGGGGCUCCCAUGGGUCACAUUUGCUGCAUGUUCACCGCUUGGGGAGUGAAGGCACAAGGACAGAAACACAGUAUUGCUUAUAAAGGCAAGCCAUGGGGCCCAUGCCUUAAUGUUCCUCUCUAUCCAACUGCAUACAAAUAACCUAGAGGCCAAUGAAAGUGAAUUCUAAAAAUUAAGUGCUUUAAAUGUGUCUAGUACAAGGGAAAGGUUUAGCUGCUUCAGUUCUAUGACAGACCUGAUUCACUAUUUGUGAGCAUUAUGCUGCAUUUGGUAUGGGGCUGUCCAUGCUGAUGCCUCAGAGGCGGUGCAUAGAUAUUGAGACAAUACAGGUGCUUUAUUGCCAACAGCUCCACCUGUCUAGAAAGGGAAGCUCUAAAACCUAGUUUUAGAACUAUUAGUCAUCACACAUUCUUAUAAUCUUCAUUUAUUGCUAAUAGUUCUGCAAAGCUAAUUCUCCAUUUAAUAAGAUAUAAAAUAAAAACCAGCAUAACAUCUAUAAUAAAGACUCUGAAACUGAUUUGGAUGGUAAAGAAAAUCAGCCAUAGUUUACAAUAAUGCAAUAAAUGGCAUACCAUUUAUAUUUUUAACCAUUAGAAGAUCUAUUUUAGAAUGGAGAUGAGAAGGCAUUUUACAAAGAUCCCACAUAAACCAAAUUUACAGUAUCCUAAAACAAAUCUUUGGCUUAGAACAUCUGCUCUAUUGUCAUGUGACCCAUCAUCAUUUUUGGUUACACCAGGGGCAGAUUAAUGCACAGGUUAUGCUAGCCCAGGGGCCCAUUGUGAUCAGAGGCCCAUCAAUUUUCUUUUAAUAUUUCUUUUAAUAUUUAUUAUUACCCACCGUAGAGAGCUUGGGUGCACUCAUGCCUGAAUCUGCAUGCAUCCAGACCCAGCAGUAGCCUAGAGGGUGGCCUGUGUGGAUUUAGCCUAGGUCAUUAAUUUGCCACUGGAUUACACCCUUAAUUUUGGUGAAUUCACUGUACAUAGCAUUUAGAUGUUAUAAAGCAGUAACAACAGAACAAAUGCAAUUUUAACUGACACCAUUAUUUACAUCCAUUGUUGCCUUUGCACUGUAUAUGCUCACACAAUCUAAAGAAUAAAUGAAUGCGCAUCUCAAUGCAAUUCAGUGCAGAGAAACAUCCUUGUGUUUAUUAUGUCAUCUACAAAGUUUAUGGGGCAAGUCCCUGUAACAGGUGUACCUACUGUACAGCUUCUUUUGGAGGAGAGUUUAUAAAUCUAUCCCCAAUAUAGGUAUUCAGCAGGGCAGCGACACCCCUAUUUAUGAAAUAAAACAAGCUGAAUAAAAUGCAUGGCAGUACCAACAGCAACUUCACAUGCAAAGCUGUUCUUUUGUACUUCUGUACUAUAAAUAAGGGUAGCUGUAUUGCAUAAAGAAGUAUGUUGAUGCUUUGCUAAUAGUGGAACCUGGCUUCCUGACAUGGGAACCUUAUUCUGGAUUUAGGUUGGAUUUAUUUCAAAGAUUGCAGUAGAAAUAGUGUUACUUAUUGCUGAAAAAAAGAGGGACUUACAGAAACAGUGGCAUAACAAGAGCACUACCCCCCGUAUCCCGUCAUAAAAAAAAUCUUCGGAGGGGCCUGCCUCACAUAGCGCUCAUGCCUGCAACCCCCACCCUCACCAGAAGAAGCCGACCCUGUGUUCAAGUCCCCCCAUCACAUGGUCUGCUUUGUGUGUGUUUUGCAACUUUCGCAUCCUAAACUCUGGAAAGAAGGUACAUAUCUCCCAGAAUGCUUCAUGAGACUCAGAAUGUCAAGAGAAUUACAGAUGCUUAGAACAAUCUGCAGUGCUAAUUAAGUGCAGCUGAGGGAAGUGAUGUCACGCCCUGAGGGAAAAGAGCUCUCUGGCAAGGAACCAGGAAGUGUGUGAGGUAAUGGCCUCUGAGGAAAAAGAGUUUUGGAUAUACUCCUGUGCCAAGUCUGUUGGAGAAUAACGUAUGGACUGAACCCCUGAGUGAGGCUAAAACUUGGCUGCAAAGGGCAAGACGUCUGUGCCAGUGGGUCAGUUGAGAUGGCUGUUCGAAUUAUUGAAUACUAACUGUUAAGGGGCUGCAGGAAAAUAUUAGUGAAAACCAAGUGUUGGCUUCCAGUUGUAAAAUAUAGAUCCAGAUCUUUCAGUCCAGUGAGGAAUCUGGUAGACUCACAUUGACGAUCUUAAACACAGGUCAUUUUUUCAUUUCUCAGGAGCAUACGAUGCUGGAUCCUUGUGUCCACAUAGUGGUUUUUAACCUCCAAUGCAUCGGUACCUGCCUCUUCAGAUGAACCCUGUGCAAGUGUGUCCAUUCAUGCUGGAGAACACUAGAAUUACUCUCACUCUGGACCUGCUAGUUAUUUCAGGUGUCCCACAGUGCGUUGUGAUAAUAAAAGCUACAGACUUGUAUGAAUUGAAUACUAAUGCCAUAUUGACAUGAGCCAGAAGUGACCCAGUCACCAAUGUGAAAAUGCUAGCUACAACUUGCUCUGGGGUAAUGAAGACGUAUAAAUGCAACAGUGCUUGUUUUGGCACAUCCAGAACAAUUGGGGUGUCUGCAGCUUUCUGGCAAAAAUGUUGGCAUUGUGGAAGGGAAAAUUUGAAUCCCAAAAUUGUAUUUUGUAUACUGCACCUCAUAAGCAAAUGCACCUUUAGGUAUUUUCAGAUUGUUCACCAGAAAUAGACUUUUCCAGUUAUUUUCUAUUUGUGACGGUUUUUCUAAUAUUGAAGUGUAAAGUUGAACUUUUUUACUAAAGCA